UGGCUCAGAACGAACGCUGGCGGCAGGCCUAACACAUGCAAGUCGAGCGCGCCCUUCGGGGUGAGCGGCGGACGGGUUAGUAACGCGUGGGAACGUACCCUUUGGUAGGGAAUAGCCACUGGAAACGGUGAGUAAUACCCUAUGAGCCCUUCGGGGGAAAAGAUUUAUCGCCAAAGGAUCGGCCCGCGUUAGAUUAGGUAGUUGGUGGGGUAAUGGCCUACCAAGCCUACGAUCUAUAGCUGGUUUUAGAGGAUGAUCAGCAACACUGGGACUGAGACACGGCCCAGACUCCUACGGGAGGCAGCAGUGGGGAAUCUUGGACAAUGGGGGCAACCCUGAUCCCAGCCAUGCCGCGUGAGUGAAGAAGGCCUUAGGGUCGUAAAGCUCUUUCGCCUGUGAAGAUAAUGACGGUAGCAGGUAAAGAAACCCCGGCUAACUCCGUGCCAGCAGCCGC
rnacentral:rRNA from 1 species